UGGCACUUAUAUUCAUAGAUCCACAUGCAUCAGUAUGUAUUAGACCAAGGACAUCGCUGGCUUUUUCAUCAUUUUUCUUAAAAGGUGACUUAAUCAUCUUACCAAGUAGACAGGAUUUAUAGGUUGGUAUGAUUUGCAAUCAUCUAUCUCAAGGACACGUUCUUUGAUCAACUUGUCAAUCCUAUUCUUGUUCACGUGACCAAGCUUACAAUGUCAAAGAUAGGAUUCACUAAUAUUAUCUAAUUUAGGAUGCUUGCUGGCUGUAUACAUUACACUAACAGGUCAUGAUAUUAUGUAUAUGCCAUGUUUUAAUUAUUCACGCAUAAUUGCAGUAUC
rnacentral:lncRNA from 1 species